ACAUAAACACAAUUUUUUAAUGACAGCCUAAAACUAGCAUAUAUGGAUGAACCACACUUUAAAAUUUCCCCUUAAAUUGCAAUUCUAACAAUAUUAAUAUCGGCUCCUACUUAUGGAUAUUUCUAGACAUUUCAAAUAUUUCUAGACAUUUCAAAUAUUUCUAGACAUUUCAAAGCAUUUAGCACCAUAUAUAGAUUAUCUGGUUUUAAUUGUCAAAUCAACCGUACAGAACAAACACCAUUGUUUUACCAAUAUUAGAGAUAAGGAAACCAGGGCAGACAGGGAUUAACUGUCCUGGCAGGUGAGCCAGCACAGCAGGAUUUGCGCUUCCGUCUGGGGUCCCCAUGCCCUAUGUGCAGAUAUCUCAAAACCCUACCCUGGGGCCGUGUGUAGGUGCCAGGAGCAAGAAGCUGGGAGAAGGACAAACAGCUGGGUCUGCUCACAGGGUCUCACCAUCUGUCAGGGCAAUCAGAGAGACACUGACCACCUGCUUCAUUUUGGGGACAUUACCGGACAUUUCCAAUAUGUCUCUCCUUUUGUCAAAUGGUAACAGUAAGACCUGUCAUAAGCAUCAUGAGGAAUAGUGAGAAGGGAAAAGAGAGGUGAGUCCUUCUCCCCACUGCACCAAGAGCCCAGCAGCUCCUUCCCGGGUGGAGAGGAAGACGCAGGAGGAGGGACCAGCACCGUAGCUGAGGCCAUGCACUGCCAACUGUUUCAGCAGCCACCCUUGCCCCAGCGGUUCACAAACCUUCCAGUCUAAGGACCAACGGAACAAUGGAGUAUUACUCAGCCUUAACAAGGAGGGAGAUUCUGUCCCCUGCCAUAGCGUGGGUGAACCUGAAGGAUGUUAUGCUCAGUGAAAUAAGGCGGAGACAAAUGGACAAAUUCUGCAUCAUUCCACUCGUAGGAGAGCCCUGGGGCCAUCACUUGCAACCUAACUCGCUUGUACAGACAAUUCACCCAAGCCUGGCUGCAUGAUUUUGCAGCUCACAGCAUUUCAGAUAUGGAAGACUUACAGGAGGGAUGCAGGGAGCUGCCUGAGAACUGCUGUGACAAAGAUGAAGGACUUCGCUCCUCUGGAGGGUAGCCCUACUUCUCUGUUCUUGUUUCUGGAAGACAGGUGGAGAGGCAGGUGAGCACUGAGAUGAGUCCUGGUCCCGACACCCCCAGGUGUUAGGGCUGGAAGUGGUGUUUCCCCAUUGUAUGAGUUUCCCAGGGGCUGCUGUAACAAGUACCACCAACUACGUGGUUGGAAACAAUGGGAAUGUAUUCUCCCGUGGCUCUGGGGCUCGAUGUCCAAAAUCAAGGUGUCUGCAGGGUCUCACUCUUUCUGAAGACUCUAGGGGAGGACCCUUCCCCGCUCUCAGGCCCUAGUGGGUCCUGGUGUCCCUCGGCUUUCUUUGGCUUCUAGACGCUUCACUCCAGUCCCUGUCUCCCUCUUCAUACAGCGUUCUCUCUCUGUCCAGAUUUCCCUCCUCUCAUAGGGACACCAGACGAUAUAGUAGGGCCCACCCUCGUCCAGUGUGACUUCAUCAUAACUAAUUAUAUCUGCAAAGAUCCUAUUUGCACAUGCUGAAGCUCUGGGUGGAGAGGAUUGGGAGUACACUGUGAUCCAGUACACCUAGCCUCUACCCAUCCUCUUUUCCUCCUUCCUGCU